UUGGAGGUUUUGCCUGCGCUCGGAUGAUCCCCGCGAUAGGUCAGCGCCAUUCGAUAGUUUCCGCCGGGGCGCGCGUCGAACUCGUAGAUCUGGCCGGUCAUGCCCUCCGGCGGAAGCCACUGCGGCCAUGCCUUGGAGUCAACAAACGCACGAUAGAUCACGUCCGCGCUGGCGGCGAUGAAUCGGGUCGCUGAGUCGGUUCUCCCAUGUCCGAUAUUCGCCGUCAUUGAUCGCACGCCUCGCGCUACUCGGAAUCCCGCACCGCCGUUCUCCUGUAUUUGCA
rnacentral:misc_RNA from 1 species